AUUAAAACAACUUUACACACAUAAACAUGUACCGUAUAAUAUAACGCAAUCAAAUAUUUUACAUCGCACAGUUUAUAUUAAAUGUAUAAUUUUUAUAAACAAUAAAAUAAUAAUAAAAAAAAUUAUACAAUAAAUAAAAUAAAAUCAUAUUUUUGAAAUAUGUUCAUACAAUAUAAAUUAUUGAGUUUAUAAAUCAUAAACUUA